rnacentral:lncRNA from 1 species
UUGUAACUGAAAUAUAUGAGUAUGCAUUAUUUAUAAGUUGCUAGACAUGAGCAUGCAUAUGAUCACUUACUCCACUAUAUUGUGUGUACUCACAAAGGUAUAUAAGAGGCUUAAAGUAAAGCUAAAUGUAGCUGUGAAGCUAGUGGCAAUAGGGUUUAAGUGCAAUCUUUACACCAGAAACAAGUUUUAUCUUAAUCCAAUAAAUACCCAUAUUUAUUAACAGG